rnacentral:rRNA from 1 species
UACGUAGGGGGCAAGCGUUGUCCGGAAUUAUUGGGCGUAAAGGGCACGCAGGCGGUCUUCUAAGUCUGAUGUGAAAUCCCACGGCUUAACCGUGGUAGGUCAUUGGAAACUGGAGGACUUGAGUGCAGAAGAGGAGAGUGGAAUUCCACGUGGAGCGGUGAAAUGCGUAGAGAUGUGGAGGAACACCAGUGGCGAAGGCGACUCUCUGGUCUGUAACUGACGCUGAGGUGCGAAAGCGUGGGUAGCGAACAGG